CAUCGAUGAAGAACGCAGCGAAAUGCGAUAAGUAAUGUGAAUUGCAGAAUUCCGUGAAUCAUCGAAUCUUUGAACGCACAUUGCGCCCGCCAGUAUUCUGGCGGGCAUGCCUGUUCGAGCGUCAUUUCAACCCUCAAGCCCCCGGGCUUGGUGUUGGGGAUCGGCCGCCCUCCGGCGCGCCGGCCCCGAAAUCUAGUGGCGGUCUCGCUGUAGCCUCCUCUGCGUAGUAACACUACCUCGCACCGGAACGCAGCCUGGCCACGCCGUUAAACCCCCCACUUCUGAAGGUUGACCUCGGAUCAGGUAGGAAUACCCGCUGAACUUAAGCAUAUCAAUAAGCGGAGGAAUCUUCCUCCAUGCAA
rnacentral:rRNA from 1 species